AGAGUUUGAUCCUGGCUCAGGAUGAACGCUGGCGGCGUGCCUAACACAUGCAAGUCGAACGUGAUCUCGUCUUCGGAUGAGUGAAAGUGGCGAACGGGUGAGUAACACGUUGGUGACCUGCCCCGAGGUGGGGGAUAACUGUGGGAAACCAUGGCUAAUACCCCAGAUGUCUAAGGGUUUAGACGCUUUAGACUAAAGUUCCGGCGCCUCGGGAGGGGCCUGCGGGCUAUCAGCUAGUUGGUGGGGUAAUGGCCUACCAAGGCUAAGACGGCUAGGGGGCGUGAGAGCGUGACCCCCCACAAUGGAACUGAGACACGGUCCAUACUCCUACGGGAGGCAGCAGUGAGGAAUAUUGAGCAAUGGGCGCAAGCCUGACUCAGCAACGCCGCGUGGAUGAUGAAGGCCUUCGGGUUGUAAAAUCCUUUUCUGAGGGAAGAUAAUGACGGUACCUCAGGAAUAAGUUCCGGCUAACUACGUGCCAGCAGCCGCGGUA
rnacentral:rRNA from 1 species